rnacentral:rRNA from 1 species
CCUACGGGAGGCAGCAGUAGGGAAUCUUUCACAAUGGGCGAAAGCCUGAUGGAGCAACGCCGCGUGCAGGUUGAUGGCCUUCGGGUUGUAAACUGCUUUUAUAAGCGAGAAAUAUGAUGGUAACUUAUGAAUAAGGAUCGGCUAACUACGUGCCAGCAGCCGCGGUCAUACGUAGGAUCCGAGCAUUAUCCGGAGUGACUGGGUGUAAAGAGUUGCGUAGGUGGCAUAAUAAGUAGCUAGUGAAAUCUGGUGGCUCAACCAUUCAGACUAUUAGCUAAACUGUUAAGCUCGAGACCGUUAGGGGUAACUGGAAUUUCUAGUGUAGGAGUGAAAUCCGUAGAUAUUAGAAGGAACACCAAUAGCGUAGGCAGGUUGCUGGGACGGUUCUGACACUAAGGCACGAAAGCGUAGGGAGCAAACGGGAUUAGAUACCCUUGUAGUC